GAUGAACGCUGGCGGCGUGCCUAAUACAUGCAAGUCGAGCGAACAGACGAGGAGCUUGCUCCUUCGACGUUAGCGGCGGACGGGUGAGUAACACGUAGGUAACCUACCUAUAAGACUGGGAUAACUUCGGGAAACCGGAACUAAUACCGGAUAAUAUUUCGAACCGCAUGGUUCGAUAGUGAAAGAUGGCUUUGCUAUCACUUAUAGAUGGACCUGCGCCGUAUUAGCUAGUUGGUAAGGUAACGGCUUACCAAGGCAACGAUACGUAGCCGACCUGAGAGGGUGAUCGGCCACACUGGAACUGAGACACGGUCCAGACUCCUACGGGAGGCAGCAGUAGGGAAUCUUCCGCAAUGGGCGAAAGCCUGACGGAGCAACGCCGCGUGAGUGAUGAAGGUCUUCGGAUCGUAAAACUCUGUUAUUAGGGAAGAACAAACGUGUAAGUAACUGUGCACGUCUUGACGGUACCUAAUCAGAAAGCCACGGCUAACUACGUG
rnacentral:rRNA from 1 species